CAAGUUUUCUCCUCUGAGAGAUCAAUCCUGAAGGUCGUGGGUUUAACUGGACUAGCAAUGAAUAAAUGAUGCUUACUAGAACAACUUAGGUAACAUAAACAGGAGGAUGGACAUUUUUCCAGGUUUUUGUAGAGCUACAUUUAAUGCACAUUUAGUUAUUGCACACCAGAACAUCUCUUUUUUUUUUUUUUUUUAAAGAUUUAUUUAUUAUAUGUAAGUACACUGAAGCUGUCUUCAGACACUCCAGAAGAGGGCGCCAGAUCUCGUUACGGAUGGUUGUGAGCCACCAUGUGGUUGCUGGGAUUUGAACUCCUGACCUUCGGAAGAGCAGUCGGGUGUUCUUACCCACUGAGCCAUCUCACCAGCCCCCAGAACAUCUCUUAAAACUUCUUUUUUUAGUAACUAAGACUUUAUUUUUAAAAACUUCCAAAUAAAAAAACAUUAAAAAGGGGAUUAAGCCUGGCUUUUCCUCUUGUCCACUCCACUGUUCACCAAUGAAACCACUGUCCAGAUGGUCAGCUUCCAGCACCAUUUCUUUACUUAGGUAUUGAAAUGUGCAACAGGACAUUUACAAGCCAGCCUGGAACUCUCUAUCCUCCCUCUCUCUGUCUCUGUCUCUGUGUGUGUCUCUCUCUCCCCGCCCCCUCCUUCUCUAACACAUGCACCAGCCUACCUAGCUGCAAUAUAAUUUCCAUGCUACUAAGGUCCCUUAAAAACUGAAACUACAUCAUUUGGCGUGACAGCUGACGACGGCUAGGAUUCCUUUCCUGCCAUGCCUUGCAAUGAUGGGUGAUGGUAUGAGAGGUAGGCAAGAUCAACCCGGUGGGGCUUCAAGAAAAGGGUUUUACAGGGAAUAACUGAAUCACAACAUCCAUCAUUUAAUCUUUGCCUGUUUUCCAGCACCUUCCAGGCAGGAAUCUGGAGCGGCUGGAACUACAGCAAAUACCGCAUGCCUGUAAGGAAAAGAAUCCAGUCCCUACAUUCACCCAACAAGAAUUAACUGAGUCUUGUCCUCAGGAAGAUUCAAAGCCACCACACCAGCCCAAUUACUUCUGUUCCUCUACUAUGUAUUUCUCUUCCGAUAAUUACUGAUAGGAUAACCAGUGGUUGUUUAUAUCGACAGUGUCAGCAUCCACUGGCACAUCAUUUAACAGGAGCAAGGAUUAAGAUACACACACUACAGAGACAAAGUUUGGAGCUGUGACAAAAGGAUGGACCAUCUAAAGACUACCAUAUCCGGGGAUCCAUCCCAUAAUCAGCUUCCAAACGCUGACACCAUUUCAUACACUAGCAAGAUUUUGCUGAAAGGACCCAGAUAUAGCUCUCUCUUGUGAGACUAUGC
rnacentral:lncRNA from 1 species